GAGGGUAUAGCUCAGUGGUAGAGCACUUGCUUAGCAUGCACGAAGUCCUGGUUUCAAAACCGAGUACCUCCA
rnacentral:tRNA from 1 species